rnacentral:ncRNA from 2 species
UCAUCACAGGGACGCUUUGGUUCCCGCGGCAGCACCGCGGGCUAAGAGGGAAGCCGGUGGGAAUCCGGCACUGCCCCCGCAACUGUAAGCGGCGAGCCUUGCUUCGAAACCACUGGCCAAUGGCCGGGAAGGGAAGCCGGGCGCCCGAGCCGCAAGCCAGGAGACCUGCCAGAGCCACAGAGACGAC